rnacentral:lncRNA from 1 species
GCUUCCUGGCUGCUUUGUUUACCUACGGGAGCCUGGGCAAUGGCGGGCGCCCCUCCCCCAGCCUCCCUGCCGCCUUGCAGUUUGAUCUCAGACUGCUGUGCUAGCAAUCAGCGAGACUCCGUGGGCGUAAGACCCUCCGAGCCAGGUGCGGGAUAUAAUCUCGUGGUGCACCGUUUUUUCAGCCCGUCGGAAAAGCGCAGUAUUCAGGUGGGAGUGAUCUGAUUUUCCAGGUGCCGUCCGUCACCCCUUUCUUUGACUGGGAAAGGGAACUCCCUGACCCCUUGUGCUUCCCAAGUGAGGCAAUGCCUCACCCUGCUUCGGCUCGCGCAAGGUGCGUGCACCCACUGACCUGCGCCCACUGUCUGGCGCUCCCUAGUGAGAUGAACCCGGUACCUCAGAUGGAAAUGCAGAAAUCACCGUCUUCUGGCGUCGCUCACGCUGGGAGCUGUAGACCGGAGCUGUUCCUAUUCGGCCAUCUUGGCUCCAAAAUCCAGCCAUAUUUUGAGAUUCUCCUAUGUACCUGAAUCUUCAGAGAGCACAGGAGAUGGACAAACUCUGUGGGUGCUGUCAAGGUGUGUGCGACCAAGGAAUGGGAGACUAGAGGAACCCAGGGUGGCCAACCAUGGGCCCAGUCCCUCCAGUACAAGCCAUG